rnacentral:rRNA from 1 species
UAGUCCACGCCGUAAACGAUGUCAACUAGCCGUUGGAUCCAUUUAAGGAUUUAGUGGCGCAGCUAACGCGAUAAGUUGACCGCCUGGGGAGUACGCCGGCAACGGUAAAACUCAAAUGAAUUGACGGGGGCCCGCACAAGCGGUGGAGCAUGUGGUUUAAUUCGAUGCAACGCGAAAAACCUUACCUACCCUUGACAUCCUCAGAACUUGUUAGAGAUAACUUGGUGCCUUCGGGAACUGAGUGACAGGUGCUGCAUGGCUGUCGUCAGCUCGUGUCGUGAGAUGUUGGGUUAAGUCCCGCAACGAGCGCAACCCUUAUCCUUAGUUGCCAGCACAUUAUGGUGGGAACUCUAAAGAAACUGCCCGUGAUAAGCGGGAGGAAGGUGUGGAUGACGUCAAGCCCUCAUGGCCCUUACGGGUUGGGCUACACACGUGCUACAAUGGCAGUGACAAUGGGUUAAUCCCAAAAGCUGUCUCAGUUCGGAUUGGGGUCUGCAACUCGACCCCAUGAAGUCGG